rnacentral:lncRNA from 1 species
UUUUUUUCCUACAGAAUUGAGACCUUAGCCCUGUGGUUCUGGGCUUUCCGCAUUUCAAGAUGUUUUGAUGUUGUGAUGGGUAACUUGUUGGCCAGCCUGUACCACCUUUUCAGGACUAAGGCAGCCCAGUGAGCUCUUAGGAAGAGAAGAAGAUGGAACUCUCUCACAGCUGAGGUCCUCAGCUCUGACUGUGGCCGUGCUGGUCACUUAGGAGAGUAGCUGCUUUCAAGG